rnacentral:rRNA from 1 species
GAUCCUGGCUCAGGACGAACGCUGGCGGCGUGCCUAACACAUGCAAGUCGAACGGAAGCAAAGAUUUCGGUUUUUGCUUUAGUGGCGAACGGGUGAGUAACGCGUGAGGAACCUGCCUUUCAGUGGGGGACAACAGCUGGAAACGACUGCUAAUACCGCAUAAUGCUUUUGGAUCGCAUGAUUUAAAAGCCAAAGAUUUAUUGCUGAAAGAUGGCCUCGCGUCUGAUUAGCUGGUUGGUGGGGUAACGG